AUUGAACGCUGGCGGCAGGCCUAACACAUGCAAGUCGAGCGGAUGAAGUGAGCUUGCUCCUGGAUUCAGCGGCGGACGGGUGAGUAAUGCCUAGGAAUCUGCCUGGUAGUGGGGGAUAACGUCCGGAAACGGGCGCUAAUACCGCAUACGUCCUGAGGGAGAAAGUGGGGGAUCUUCGGACCUCACGCUAUCAGAUGAGCCUAGGUCGGAUUAGCUAGUUGGUGGGGUAAAGGCCUACCAAGGCGACGAUCCGUAACUGGUCUGAGAGGAUGAUCAGUCACACUGGAACUGAGGCACGGUCCAGACUCCUACGGGAGGCAGCAGUGGGGAAUAUUGGACAAUGGGCGAAAGCCUGAUCCAGCCAUGCCGCGUGUGUGAAGAAGGUCUUCGGAUUGUAAAGCACUUUAAGUUGGGAGGAAGGGCAGUAAGUUAAUACCUUGCUGUUUUGACGUUACCAACAGAAUAAGCACCGGCUAACUUCGUG
rnacentral:rRNA from 1 species